rnacentral:rRNA from 1 species
UACGUAGGGUGCGAGCGUUGUCCGGAAUUAUUGGGCGUAAAGAGCUCGUAGGCGGUUUGUCGCGUCUGCUGUGAAAACUCGAGGCUCAACCUCGAGACGUCGGCGGAAACCAUCUGGCUAGAGUCCGGAAGAGGAGAGUGGAAUUCCUGGUGUAGCGGUGAAAUGCGCAGAUAUCAGGAAGAACACCCGUGGCGAAGGCGGCUCUCUGGGACGGUACUGACGCUGAGACGCGAAAGCGUGGGGAGCGAACAGG